rnacentral:lncRNA from 1 species
GUGAUACCUUAUCACAUUUAAAGAUAAAUUUGCUAUUAUCACAAAAGUGAGAGGUAGAUUUGCUACUUUCAAGUAUAGAGGGAUAUUUUUGAUGUUUCAACAUAUUUGAUGAAUAUAUAUGAUAUUUUUUUUUUUCAUAGAAAAGAUAUUGUGGUUGUCGUUUUUCUUAUUCUAUAAUUCUUUUCAAAAUAAACCUGUAUAGGGGAAUUUGAACACAGGGAAAGACUAAGUGCAUGAGUUUUACUUGUUAGGGUCACACAAUUAACUGUAUUCCGAACCACUAAAAUACUAAGAAACACUACAAUGCUUUCUCCUAGUAACAAUACUCCUUCAUCAACUGAUAACAACAGUGUGCAAUCAUGCACUCUCAAAAUACCGCUCAAAACACAAUAAUUUCCAUCCAACACCAGGAAUAACAGAUUUCACUCCAACUAAUCUAAAUUCACAUAAUUUCUAUAAUUACAGACUUCCUCUGUCGAAACACACACAGCUCUCAAUAAACAAUAGUCCUAAUCUUCCAAUAAUUCAUAUAAUUCAAUCACUGAGUACUCCAAUUACAUAAUCAAUAACUCAUAAAUCAAUCUCUGAUUUAUUCCACAGACUCACUUCUCAGUAUUGAAAAACUAUCCAUUACUCUUCAACAACAAAGAAAAAAAACAAAGAGACAAAGAGGUAGCACCAAGCUUAUCCCGGCUCAUGACUAUCACAAUUUGGCCCUCAUACUAACUUCUACAACUCCUAUAUACUUACUCACUAUUCCCAGAUUCUAACCAUAAUCACGUAAUUAACUGCUUUUAAUAACUAAAUCAAUCAUCAGUCCUCUUGAACUGACUAUUCUAUGGACUAUUAGUCUAUUUUAUCAAUAUCUUACAAAAACGAAUUAAUAUCUAUUCUACAUAGCCCCACUCCUAUUUGUGCAGUGUCCUCGCAAACACACAAUUAUUACCUAUCUA